AAUCUUAUAGUUUAGUUAAAACAUUAAAUUGCAAAUUUGAUAAAGAAUAAAGUUCUAAGAUUU
rnacentral:tRNA from 1 species